CCUCUGUGUCUCUGUGUGUGCUGAACAUGUAGGACUGAGUCAGGCUGCAUUGACUGUGGGACUUUUCUGUGUUAAAAGCAGGUUGAAGACGGCUCAGAAACAUUUGAAGAUUAAAAUUUAGCAUUAUGGCUGCUGGUGGUGUGUAAAGCUUCUACUCAGCUGUAUUUUUGGUACUAAUUUAUGUUUGUUGUUGUUUAACACAGAUUUCAGAAGUGCAAAGAUGAGCACUGUUGCUUAAUCCUUAAUACUUUAAAUCAGAACUGGAUUGGAAAUCCAAAAAUCCAGAUUCUUCUUCCACAGAAGUUUCAUUUGUCAGUGUGGGACUGCUGAGCCACCUGAAGAACUCAUUUCAUUCAUUCUCCACGAUGUUGAUUUACAGAAAUGUUUCACAGGAACUGAUUCCUCCCAAAGGGUGAACUAGUGUGUUUCCAUAGAUUAUCUCUGUAUGAAUGUACUUCUUAAAUGAAGGCAAGUGUUUGUCCUGUUUUGUUCCUCAGGUACAGUACGUGAUAUUCAGGGCAGGCGGUCAUCACCAGGGGAAGACAAGAAGCAGACGUACUUCCAAGAGGGGGCUGCAGUGAGGACACAGCCUGGUCACUGAGGUCAGAGGAGGCGCUGAAAGGUUUCCCUAAUAGUUCCUGGUGAAUCAAAGCAGGACCAUAAAGGUUGCUGGACUGCAUGAUGGCCUUACCCCUGAGCAGUCAUCCUGUUAAAGGAGGAACCAGUUAGAAGCUGUUUUCAAAGUAGCUGAGCAGAUUUCACCUCAACAGACAAAGCCGAUAGCAGAAGAUGUUUGGAGAAGAACUUCAGGCCGUGGACUGAAAAGG